GACGAACGCUGGCGGCGUGCUUAACACAUGCAAGUCGAACGAAGUGGCGAACGGGUGAGUAACGCGUAAUCAACCUGCCCUUCAGAGGGGGACAACAGUUGGAAACGACUGCUAAUACCGCAUACUGAAGGAGGGGAUUGCGUCUGAUUAGCUAGUUGGAGGGGUAACGGCCCACCAAGGCGAUGAUCAGUAGGCGGUCUGGGAGAUUUAACGGCCACAUGGGAACUGAGCCACGGCCGAGACUCCGACGGGAGGCAGCAGUGGAGAAUCUUCCGCAAUGGACGAAAGGCUGACGGAGCAACGCCGCGUGAGUGAUGACGGCCUUCGGGUUGUAAAUCUCUGUUAAUCGGGACGCGGUACCUGAAUAGAAAGCCACGGCUAACUACGUGCCAGCAGCCGCGGUAAUUC
rnacentral:rRNA from 1 species